AGUGAACGCUGGCGGUAGGCCUAACACAUGCAAGUCGAACGGCAGCACAGUAAGAGCUUGCUCUUACGGGUGGCGAGUGGCGGACGGGUGAGGAAUACAUCGGAAUCUACUUUUUCGUGGGGGAUAACGUAGGGAAACUUACGCUAAUACCGCAUACGACCUACGGGUGAAAGCAGGGGAUCUUCGGACCUUGCGCGAUUGAAUGAGCCGAAGUCGGAUUAGCUUGUUGGCGGGGUAAAGGCCCACCAAGGCGACGAUCCGUAGCUGGUCUGAGAGGAUGAUCAGCCACACUGGAACUGAGACACGGUCCAGACUCCUACGGGAGGCAGCAGUGGGGAAUAUUGGACAAUGGGCGCAAGCCUGAUCCAGCCAUACCGCGUGGGUGAAGAAGGCCUUCGGGUUGUAAAGCCCUUUUGUUGGGAAAGAAAAGCGGCAGGUUAAUACCCCGCUGUUCUGACGGUACCCAAAGAAUAAGCACCGGCUAACUUCGUG
rnacentral:rRNA from 1 species